CAACACCCGGAAACGAUGCUAAUACCGCAUAAGACCACACUUACUAAGGUGAGAGUGGUAAAAGGCGCUCCAAAGCGACCAGAGGAUGAGCCUGCGUCCCAUCAGCUUGUUGGUGAGGUAAUGGCUUACCAAGGCGAAGACGGGUAGCUGGUCUGAGAGGAUGAUCAGCCACACUGGCACUGGAACACGGGCCAGACUCCUACGGGAGGCAGCAGUGAGGAAUAUUGGGCAAUGGGCGAAAGUGACCCAGCCACGCCGCGUGUGUGAUGAAGGCCUUCGGGUCGUAAAGCACUGUGGGGAGAGAUGAACAUGCGCAUGAGGAAAUGCUUGCGCACUGACAGUAUCUCCUUAGCAAGCACCGGCUGACUCUGUGCCAGCAGCCGCGGUAUACAGAGGGUGCGAACGUUGCUCGGAUUUACUGGGCGUAAAGCGCGUGUAGGCGGACUCGCAAGUCGGUUGUGAAAUCCCUGGGCUCAACCUAGGAACUGCAUCCGAAACUGCUUGUCUUGAGUAGUAGAGAGGGUGGCGGAAUUCCCGGUGUAGAGGUGAAAUUCGUAGAUAUCGGGAGGAACAUCAGUGGCGAAGGGGCCACCUGGAUACUUACUGACGCUGAGACGCGAAACUGGGGAGCAAACAGGAUUAGAUACCCUGGUAGUCCACGCCGUAAACGAUGAGCACUAGGUGCAGUGGAUAUUGACCUCUGCUGUGCCGUAGCUAACGCGUUAAGUGCUCCGCCUGGGGAGUACGGCCGCAAGUAAAACUCAAAGGAAUUGACGGGGGCCGCACAAGCAGUGGAGCAUGUGGUUUAAUUCGAAGCAACGCGCAGAACCUUACCAGGGCUAGAAAAACUGAGAAUCCUGAAGAGACUC
rnacentral:rRNA from 1 species